ensembl:lncRNA
GUCUACUUACCACAGGGAAGAAGUAGUGAAGUGCGGUUGGGGCAGCCUAGCAGUUCUCAUGACGGUCGUAGUGGCCCAGAGCUGUCUACUUGCAAGAAUAACAAUUUUUUGGAUCCAGGGCUGGUGUUGUUUUGGAAGAGAACCACGUGCAGGCGAUUCUCUGAUCAAGGAGGGUGACCGGCUUCUCAAGGCAUCGCCAUCUCCAGGCAGGGCUGACACAUUCUUCCUUUAGGAGACGGGCCUUUUCAUCUUUACAGCCAUUGAGAACAUUAUAAUCAACACGCCUGCAAAGAUUUUUGGACCUGCGUCAUGAGAGAAUGUUUUAGGGGACUCAGCAGCCAUUUUUCAGUAAAAAUAAAUAUUCAUGUGUUUCCAAAAAA